AUUUACAGUUUCUUGUCACUGUCAAUGUGAAUGUUUUAAAAAGAGCAAAUCAAACAUUUCCAUUAAUUCACCUUCUAUUUCACUGUAUUUUACUCCAUCUACAGCUGAGUAUUAACUGUCUUUUGUUCUGUAUCUUGGAUUGACUUGACCUGUUUUUAGUUUAACGCCUGACCUCAGAGCUAAAUUUAGGGAUGAGUUCAUAAAAAGCCCUGGUUUGCUUGGAAAAUGGUCAGCUUAAGCAAACUCAAACCAGUAAAGUCUGCGAUGAUUCAGCCCCAAACCAAGAAGAACCAUGUGUACUGUAGUUGUGACAGCAAACCAAUAACCUUACAACGUUCCUCUGCAGAGAGCAACAAACUCCAACACCCUGAGCUUGUAGUCUUUAUCCUCUCCACUUCACACGGCAGCUGGAAGAGAGCAGCAUCUCUCUUAUCAGUGUGUGUGUGUACGCUUGUGUACAGUAAAGGCCUAAUCUAAUCACCACACACUCACUGCUUCCUCCAGGUGUAUUACUGUACCAGGAGUGUAAUGCAGAGAGAGGGAGAUAAGUAAUAUUGAUCUGAUGCAGCGAUUGUCACUCUGUUGCCUGCCUUGAAUAGCUAAUCUCUUUUCUCACGGGUCAGAGUGAAGAAAGGCGACGGGGCUGCAGGUUUAACCACAACAAAUCUAUGAAUUGUUUCCAACACAGGGCGAUCAAGCUCAGACUGGAUGUGAAAUUGUAUCUCCGAGCUGUUGUUGGCAGAAAUAACGAUGAUUGUGAUGAUGUUGAUAGUGUUAAUGGACAAGUUUGGGGUGAUUUUAGCUCUGUGGCGAGACACGGAAAUGUACUUUGAAACUUGUGAGCACUUUGAAAAUAUUCUACAAAUACAGACAAGACAGAGAUCACAUGAUAUAUUCACGUCUGUGCCCAGACUGAUGGGGCCUCAUGGAGUUCAGUAGCAUGGGUGGCAGUAGCUCAGGGGGUAGAGCAGUCGUCCAAUAACUGGAAGGUUGGCGGUUCGAUUCUCCCCUAUCUCAAGUCUGUCCGUUGUGUCCUUGGGCAAGACACUUAACCCACCUGAGUGUUGAGUGUUGUGUGGUGGUGGUCGGAGAAGCCAUAGGCGCAAACUCGCAGCCAUGUUGUGACUGCUACGGUAGUUUAUCACCAAGUUGUGACUGUGUGAGCGACUGAAUGAUGUAUCCAAUGUAAAGCGCUAUAUAAAAUCUGAUGCAUUAAUUAAUUAGUAGCACUCAAAUAGGAAACUUCCUUGGCCUUGUGGUCCAAGUGCCUUCGUGUAAAGAGGUAAUGGUUCUCCUUGCAGUAGUUACUGGUCCUACUCCCUGAUGUAAGUCUUUUCUGCUCUCUAGCUGUCCCAUCACACAAAAGCCAUUACUAAAUAUACCCAAGCAAAGAGUUUUGUGCAAUUCUUGAAUUAAUAAAAACUUCCUUAUCCAUGUUCAUUUUCCAGCUCAUAAACUUGCUUAAAGUGUCUUAAGUUGGACUGUUUUCACCUGAGAGUGCCGUGAGCAUUUUUGGGCUUAGUACACAAAUCGCCAAAAGGACUGAGCUGUGCCGGUUUUGUGGAGAAAGCGGACCACCUGCUCUUAAAGUGGCGUUAGACCCUGACUCAUCGUGCCUGUGUUAAAAGCCGCUCCAGCUGAGUUUGGAUUGAGGACAGGCUGCUCUCAUUUGCAUUUAGACAUUUCAAAUUGGGAUCUCUCCCAUCUCCCAUGUGUCAGGGCGAGGUCCUCUUGUAUCUCCUCUGCACCCCCUCGCCCCCCUCCUCUGUAUACACAUCUAUCACCCGCUCCUCACCCACAUCUCCACCUGCAUUGGGAAAGGAGGGAUUGAUGUGGCGAACACGCCACAGUAGUUUCCAUUUACCAAGACCAAACAUCAGCAAGCAUAUCUCUGACACCAAAGGGUCUGCUUGGGUGCCCCCUCUCUCUCCUCCCUCAUUCUCAUUCCCCCCCUCUCCCCCUUCUCCUCUCCCCCCUCCACCCUUCCCGUCUUUACCCCCGCCAUCUCCUUUUAAUAUAGAAGCUGGAGAUGAAAAAUGGUGUGCUUUUGUUUAUUUGCCACCGAUGCAAAUGCGACCACAGCAGGAUUAGUGAGUUCUCCAUCUCUUUGCUGAUAGCGGUGGGAAGAAAGAGGGGAUUUUUAUGCAAAAAAGAUCUCUCCCACCCUUGCUAUGACAAUUGCAAUGCAUCACUUCAUAGACAGUUUUUAAUCUGUUUCAAACCAACCACACUUUGAACUGCUGGGAACGCGAGAUAUACAACUGUGGGUAUAUGCGUUUGUGCGCGGCUGUGUGUGUGAAGGGGAGUGCUUGUGUGUAUGUGCUGUAUGUGUUUUCCUGUGAUUAAUCUUUGGAGUUGGUUUAAGCACACUGCUGACACAGCACAGAUCGCCCUCUCUCUCUCUCUCUCUCUCUCUCUCUCUCUCUCUCUCUCCCUCUCUCUCUCUUUGGCUAACUUUGUCUCUCAGUCUGAACGCCCUUGGAUUUAGCUUUGAAUAACAAAAAGUUUCAAUCCUAAUUCACUGUUGGUCCAUUGUGUCCAACUUUUCUUUCAUUGUAAAGAAAACUUCACUCGGGGCCUGUAUAUUGAUCUUUAAUCAAAAAUCUGCAACACUUAAGCCUCUUAGAUUUACUGUACUCGCUCACGUUUCCCUCAGCGGAGACUGCAGAGUGAGAAUCACAAAAAAAAAAAAACUUGAAGGAAAAAGCGUCUCUGAAAGCUGCACACAAAGAGAUCAGUCUGCGGAAAUCUCUCUUUUUUUGUAGGUUUUAAGGACAAAGACGGACGGGAAUGAAAAGAGUGACCGCAAAGUCAGAACAGUGAUUAAUUUCUCAACAACAACAUUAACACUAGAGACGACCUGAUCGCACUCGUCACAUCAAAUCAAUUCAGAGGAAGAAGCCUGGUGCAUUUCUGUUCACAUCAACAUAAGUUUCCAUCUCAGGCUGGUCUUGAGAGUCGGGAAUAACAGAGACCAGGUUCAGGUGUGAAGCUACUGGAAAGAGUUGCAACAUACAGACAGACUUGUUGAAAUUAGAAAUUGACUAUAGGGGUGAAAGUUAAUGAAGUUAACUGUUCCAGCUAGCUAGCUAGCCUGGCAGCUAAGCUACAAGAGCAGUGCUAUUUGAUACUCAGCCGGACUGGUCUAUGUGGACCUUGAAGGCUGGAGCUCCUGAAUUAGGACACAGCUAAGGACUCAAUGUAGAAGACUUUGAAGUCUGAGCAUCCGUGCUUACUUUUUAAGGUUUUAUUUGACCGUAAAUGAACACGAGUCACAGCUAUUUUAUCUCAGGCUGACCUGCAUUUCAGCUACUGUCUCUUCAGAAGCCUCCUCCACUGUUGCCAGACUACAAAGUCCACUUUUUUUGUUGAAAUGAUAAAUUAUCAAAGAUCAUCAGUUUUCUUUACUUUUGGAUACCUUGAAAAAGCAGCAAUAUGGAUUUUGGUCUGCUUCAUAAACUUCCACUGAGCAACAGAUGGUUAUUAGACGUCUAGUUUUUUUUUUUUUUUUAGACCUUAUCUCAACUGUCUAGCUUCUAUAUAUUUCUAGACCGAAUUUAGAUGUUGUGCUUUAACCCAUUAACUAUUUAUAUCUAUUUAUAACAAACUACAACUAUCAUACUAUUUAUUUCAAAAAGCAACUGUGUGUUGCAUAACUGAUCUCCAAGUACUUAACCAGAAUAAUUAUGAUAGCCGUUGAGCAAUAUACAGUUAGACCUCUGUUAGCCGGCUAGUCUAAACUUGGUCUAAAUGUAGACCUCGAAAAAAAUGUCAUUUUUAGACCUGUGGUAGCCUGAUUUUAGACCAGUCAUCUAGGCUACAUUUAGACGUCUACUAGACCUCUUUUAGACCAAAAAAAAAUGCUCUGUGGGCGAUUAAAUGCAACUAAUGGCUUUUUGUCUGUUUCAUGGCCAGCUUUAAAACUCCACAGUCACUGUGGUUUUAUCAUCGACUUCUAUCAGAGUCGCCUCUGUGGCCAUUUCUUGAACUGCCAUUUUCUCUGCUUGCACCUUGGCUCAAGUUUUCAGCCCUGAAAUUUACUGUUUGUUCUGACGGGACACAAGCUGGACACUUUCCAUUUUGGGGGUACAUACGUUGUUCUGUGCAAGUCGAA